rnacentral:ncRNA from 2 species
GAAUAGAGGCGCAUCGCACUAUCAGUACCUCUUUUCUAUGCCGUUCGCAGCGGUACGGAAAGAGCGAAAGGAGUCGUUGCCGAAGGGAGACGAGGCGAAAGUCUUACCUGGGAAAUCAGAGAAUAUCUGUUUUACUGUCGUAGGCGGGUCACAGUUAAGUGUAUGUGGUUCGCAACGCGGAGUGCUAUCA